UCCGCAGUAGCUCAGUGGUAGAGCUAUCGGCUGUUAACCGAUCGGUCGUAGGUUCGAAUCCUACCUGCGAGCCA
rnacentral:tRNA from 1 species